rnacentral:rRNA from 1 species
AACGAACGCUGGCGGCAUGCCUAACACAUGCAAGUCGAACGAGACCUUCUGCUUUCGUUUCUCACUUGUGCGUAACCCGUUGGAACCUGCCCUUAUGUUCCGAAUAUCUUCCCUCAACGGCUUCUAUUUCCGGCUAAUUUCUUCGGUCCAAUGCUUUAUCGCCUUUGGAUGUGCCCGCGUUGGUUUAGCUAGUUGUUAGGGUAAAAGCCUACCAACGCGACGAUACAUAGCUGGUCUGAGAGGAUGAUAAACCACACUGGGACUGAGACACGGCACAGACUGGGAAGAGAGGCAGCAGUGGGGAAUAUUGGAGAAUGGACGAAAGCCUGAUGAAGCAAUGCCGCGUGAGUGAUGAAGGCCUUAGGGUUGAAAAGGUAUUUUAGACGGGAGGAUAAUGACAGUACCGGGAGAAUAAGCACCGGCUAACUACGUG